CGGAGGGUGCAAGCGUUAAUCGGAAUUACUGGGCGUAAAGGGUGCGUAGGCUGGGAGAUAAGUCAGACGUGAAAUACCAAAGCUCAACUUUGGUGCUGCAUCUGAAACUAUCUUUCUUGAGGAAUGGCGGAGAAACGGAAUUCCACGUGUAGCGGUGAAAUGCGUAGAUAUGUGGAAGAACAUCUGUGGCGAAAGCGGUUUUCUAGCUUGAUCCUGACGCUGAGGCACGAAAGCAAGGGGAGCAAACAGGAUUAGAUACCCUGGUAGUCCUUGCCUUAAACGAUGUAUACUUGGCGUAGUUGGUCUCAACCCCGACUGUGCCGAAGCUAACGCGAUAAGUAUACCGCCUGGGGAGUACACUCGCAAGGGUG
rnacentral:rRNA from 1 species